AUGUCAGCGCCCGGCGAGAGCGGCGCCCGUCGGCGGCAGCGCAGGAGGUGGCGCCUGUACUGGUGCUACGUGUGCCGCCGCGCGCUGCGCACCGUGUCGUCCCCGACCUCCGACGUCUUCUGCCCGCGCUGCCUCGGCCGCUUCCUCCACGAGAUCGAGCUCCCCGUGCCGCGCGAGCCCGUGCACGCGCCGACCGAGCGGCUCUUCCAGCCGCCACCGUUGUUCCCGUACGAGGGCGCCCCCCGCCACUGGGUCAUAUACAGGGGCGAGGACGACGACGACGCGGCCGACACGCCAGGCCCACGUCUCCGCCGCGUCCCGUCCCCGCCGCCGGCCCCGGGAACGCACGGCGGCUUGGGCGGUGCCGAUGCCGGUCCACCGGCAACCGGCAUCGACCAGGCGGGGUUCUUCACCGGCCCCAACCUGAACGCGCUCAUCGAGGGUCUGACGCAGAACGACCGCCCCGGCCCGCCGCCCGCGCCGGCGUCGGCGAUCGACUCGCUCCCGACGGUGCACGUCUCGCCGGAGCACAUGGCGGACGGCUCGCAGUGCCCCGUGUGCAAGGAUGAGUUCGAGAUCGGCGAGACCGCGCGCGAGCUGCCUUGCAAGCACGCCUACCACUCCGACUGCAUCGUGCCGUGGCUCCGGCUCCACAACUCUUGCCCUGUCUGCCGGCAGGAGCUGCCAAUGCCGGCCGGUGAUGAAUCUCCCGAUGGCGCGGGCGCGGGCGCAGGCGACGGAGGCGAGGAGACGGUUCCGCCGUGGCAGCUGCUUGCCGGCUGGGGGCCACUGGCUUGGCUGCUAACGCUGGGGGAACCGGACGUGGGCGGCUGGGGUAAUGGACCUGGGCGGCGUGGGACGGAAGCCGACGCCGAUGAGACCGGUGACAAUGUCAGUCGUGGCACCACGAUUCUUCAGUCGUUUGUUCUCGUCGCUGCUUGCUUUUUCUUUGUCUCCUUUCUCGUUUGA
rnacentral:rRNA from 1 species